CGUCAACCAUAGAACCCGAUUUCAUAAUUGCCACUUGUAAAAACCCUUUUUCUAUUAACCUAAAACCUCUAUCCACUUAUCCCCUUUUCUGCUGAUUCCGAUUUUCCGCAUAGCAGUUGCAUCAAAUCUUCCGCUUUUCUCAGUACAAUCGUCCCCUAAAAUCCCAACUAGAAGCGCCAAUCGAUUCUACGCAAUUUGAUUCGCGAUUGGUGAUUUAUAUGGCCUACUGCGAUGCUCUGAAUUUGUUGUUGGGGGCUGGAAUUUGGUGUGCUGCGUACAUGGCGGUAGCAGUUCUUGCUUCUUGUCGAAUCUUUUACUACGUCUGCGGCGGCUCGCUUUGAUAGCUUUGCGGCGGAGCUGAGAUUUCUAGCCCAGGAACCACUGCAAUGUGUACAGUUCGUUUUUGUUCAAAUUUGACAACUACCCACAAUAUGGAGAAUAUCAGACGUGACGAUUAGGGACUUGGAUACAUAGGAUGACGGCUACGCCUUCAAAUGUUGAUUUACUUGAGACAUGUAACAGUUGCAGGAACUGUUUUUGUAUAAGAAUGUACAAAUUUGUCGCAGUAUACUGCAAAACCAGUUGUCAAUUACGAGUGUUAUAAUGAAAAUGAGCUCUGAGUAUUGGCGAAUCAAAUUAGUUUACUUUUUA